rnacentral:rRNA from 1 species
GACGAACGCUGGCGGCGCGCCUAACACAUGCCAGUCGAGCGAUGAAAUUUUAACCGCUCUCUUCGGAGAGAAGAUAAAAUGGAUUAGCGGCGGACGGGUGAGUAACACGUGAGAAACCUGCCUUUCACAAGGGGAUAGCCUCGGGAAACCGGGAUUAAUACCCUAUGACACAUUUCCUUCGCAUGGAAGAAAUGUUAAAACUCCGGUGGUGAAAGAUGGUCUCGCGCCUGAUUAGCUAGUUGGUGGGGUAACGGCCCACCAAGGCCAUGAUCAGUAACCGGCAGGAGAGGGUGAACGGUCACAUUGGAACUGAGACACGGUCCAAACUCCUACGGGAGGCAGCAGUGGGGAAUAUUGCACAAUGGAGGAAACUCUGAUGCAGCGACGCCGCGUGAGCGAUGAAGGCUUUCGAGUCGUAAAGCUCUGUCCUAUGGGAAGAUAAUGACGGUACCAUAGGAGGAAGCCCCGGCUAACUACGUG